rnacentral:rRNA from 1 species
UGUUUCAUGUAACACAUAUGAAAUAACGCCUGCCCAGUGACACUGUUCAACGGCCGCGGUAUCCUAACCGUGCAAAGGUAGCAUAAUCACUUGCCUAUUAAUUGUAGGCUAGAAUGAAAGGAUAAACGAAAUAAAAGCUGUCUCAGUUAGUCACAUAAAAAUUAUUUUCUGUAUGAAGAAAUACAGAUAAACUCGAAGGACAAGAAGACCCUAUAGAGCUUUAUUUAACAUAUAGGAUAUUACUAUAAAAAAAUUCGGUUGGGGCGACCCAGGGAUCAACAAUCACCCUAAACUAAAAAGAUAAAUAAAUCGAGCUAAUGACCCUUAAAAGAUCACAAGAUCAAGCUACCUUAGGGAUAACAGGCUAAUCCCACUCAAGAGUCCUUAUCAACAGUGAGGCUUGGCACCUCGAUGUUGGCUUAGGGUAUCUAUAUAGCGCAAAAGCUAUAUAAAGAUGGUUUGUUCAACCUAUAAUUCCCU